GAUGAAGAACGUAGCGAAAUGCGAUAAGUAAUGCGAAUUGCAGAAUUUCCGUGAGUCAUCGAAUCUUUGAACGCACAUUGCGCCCAUUGGUAUUCCGAUGGGCAUGCCUGUUCGAGCGUCAUUUCACCACUCAAGCCUGGCUUGGUGUUGGGCGACGUCCCCUUUGGGGACGCGCCUCGAAACGCUCGGCGGCGUGGCACCGGCUUUAAGCGUAGCAGAAUCUUUCGCUUUGGAAGUCGGGGCCCCGUCUGCCGGAAGACCUACUCGCAAGGUUGACCUCGGAUCAGGCAGGGAUACCCGCUGAACUUAAGCAUAUCAAUAAGCGGAGGA
rnacentral:misc_RNA from 1 species